rnacentral:miRNA from 1 species
CGGGGUGCCGCCGCCAUGGUGUU